rnacentral:rRNA from 1 species
UUGAAGAAGUGGAUCACUCGGCUCAUGGGUCGAUGAAGAACGCAGCAAACUGUGCGUCAUCGUGUGAACUGCAGGACACAUGAACAUCGACAUUUUGAACGCAUAUUGCAGUCCAUGCUGUU